UAGCGUUAAAGGAGCAUUCAUGUUUUCCAGUAUCGUUUGUAUAACGCUCUUGUUUGGGAGACUGUCAGAAGCCUGAAAUCUGUCUAGGUUGUCAUAAGGUGGCCCAUCACCAUGGUACUGAAGGAAACGUACGAAUCUCUGUCUUCCAGUCCUGUUGGAAAGAAUAAGCUUAAAGUUAUUAAAGUAUGAGAAUGCUGAUGCAUUGGGGUUAUUGCAGGAAAGCUCAUGUGCCCCCUUCUAUUCCCAGCCUCUGUCACCCUCCUCCCUCCAAAAAACUGUACCCCAAGCAGAGUUUUGACCCCCAAAAAGGGAGACGUAUCAGAGACCCCAUAAAAAUCCACUAGGGACUUUGCUAUUGAUUUUACAUGGAAGGCACCCAGCUGCUGUGGGGAUGGGCAGUGGUAGAAAACCCGAAGAGAGAUGAGUCUAAGAAAUGGGUUUGCACGUAGAUGUGAACACAAGGCGGACGGUCGGCCCGUAUUUACCAACAGCUUGAUUUUUCCAGCAGAGUGAAGCCAUCAUGUGAUCUCUUCGCCACGGAGGUGAUUUCUCAGAUAGUUGGGGCCAAAACCAAAGGACCGCCAUCUUGGGCAGGCCUCUGUUCACUGGGGAGCCAGCAUAGGGAGAGACAAAUUGGGGUGACGUAUUUCUUGUAGGCUGUGUUCGUGAGCAGGCCAGCUGCCAGAUUCUGAAAGCACCGUUUUUCCGCCCCCGGUUAAGAACGCUCCUCUGGAGCACAAGCCAAAACGGUUUUUCUUUGUUGACAAGAGCACCAUUGAAGGACGUCAAUUUCCACCCAGUUGUAGGAGGGUUCAGGUUGUGCUCCCUCUGCUGGCUGGCAGUAGCACAACAAAAAAUAUCAUAAGGUCAGGCCAGGAGGGUAACAUCUCUCCUCUGGAUGAGUUAGUUGUAGACUGUUCCCUGACAGCUUCUAACGUAGAUCAGAUUUUGGCCCGAAGUUACUUUACAGUUUUCCUUUCUUUUCGAAGUAUUUAUACAGAGUCAUAUCUUGCUAUCCUUUUAUACUCUGUGCGUGGCUGUAGUGUCUGACUGUCAUGUGGUGGGUCAUGGUGCUUUACAAAGAGAAGAUCUAGUACCGGCGAGUCCUCUGUAGGGUCAGAUUUCCUUUCAUUACGGUGAUCAGGGACAGACAUCUCUAC
rnacentral:lncRNA from 1 species